rnacentral:rRNA from 1 species
AUUGAACGCUGGCGGCAGGCCUAACACAUGCAAGUCGAGCGGUAGCACAGGGAGCUUGCUCCUGGGUGACGAGCGGCGGACGGGUGAGUAAUGUCUGGGAAACUGCCUGAUGGAGGGGGAUAACUACUGGAAACGGUAGCUAAUACCGCAUAACGUCGCAAGACCAAAGAGGGGGACCUUCGGGCCUCUUGCCAUCAGAUGUGCCCAGAUGGGAUUAGCUAGUAGGUGGGGUAACGGCUCACCUAGGCGACGAUCCCUAGCUGGUCUGAGAGGAUGACCAGCCACACUGGAACUGAGACACGGUCCAGGCUCCUACGGGAGGCAGCAGUGGGGAAUAUUGCACAAUGGGCGCAAGCCUGAUGCAGCCAUGCCGCGUGUAUGAAGAGGGCCUUCGGGUUGUAAAGUACUUUCAGCGGGGAGGAAGGCGAUAAGGUUAAUAACCUUGUCGAUUGACGUUACCCGCAGAAGAAGCACCGGCUAACUCCGUGCCAGCAGCCGCCGUAA